UGUGACAAUUAUUGUCCAUUUAUUUGGUUCAAUUCAGGGAAUGGCAACAGGAAUGUUGUUUUUUUUUCCUUAUAAAAUGCUACAGUAAAAAAUGUUAAAAAAUGUCAUCAACUGUGAGAUUAUAAGGAUUUCCUGUCAUCUUAACCAUUCAGGCCAAUAAAAUUACAUUAGUUUUAAUUGCUCACAUCUUACCUGCCACCUUCUUGAAUUCCUCUGUCCAUGUAGCUCCAGAAGAGAGGUGGGUGUGUCUCGGCGAGGACAGAAAGAGAGGCUGCAGAAGAAAUCAGAAGACUGGACUGAGACGGAACAAGAUGAGGAGGUUUGCUUCCCAGCCUACUGGAUUCUUGAAUGUAUCAGCGCGACCUGUCCAGGGUGAACUCCACCUUCCUCCCCAUAAUCGCUGAAUAGAUGGAUAGCCUCCCACGAUCCUACCGAAAGUAAACAAAAGCUGAAUGCCUUAUAACACCUCGGACAGCGGCGGUCUCUCCAACUAGGAUCAACGCUGAGGGGCGGUGGUGGAGUUAUUUUCAGGCUUUUUGUGAAAUCAUUCUUAAUUUAAAAAAGAAAAUGUCUACAGCACAUCGUUAUGACAAUUCCGAAC